rnacentral:lncRNA from 1 species
GGAGUUCCUGUCGUGGUGCAAUGGAAAUGAAUCUGACUAGGAACCAUGAGGUUGUGGGUUUGAUCUGGCACUGCUGUGAGUUGUGGUGUAGGUUGCAGACAGGGCUCAGGUCUGGCAUUACUGUGGCAGUGGCUGUGGCUGGCAGCUGUGGCUCUGAUUCAGCCCCUAGCCUGGGAACCUCCAUAUGCUGAGGGUGUGGCCCUAAAAAAAAAAAGAAAGAAAGAAAAGAAAAUGGACAAGGAAUAGGGCAUAGGAGAGAGAGAAGCAAAAUUCUAUGGACGUGCUUGGGUGGCCAUUCUCCUCACUGUGUUGAGUCCGUGAUGCUCCGAGAGGCCUUUGGGGCUGGAAUACUACAGAGAUAAUGCUGGGUCCUUCUCAGUACGGUAAUUUAUUUUCAAAUACUGUUGCUCAUCCACUAAGAGGAAUGGAGGCUCCUUCCAGGGCUGGGCAGGGAAGUACAGAGAAGCUUGGAAGAUCUUGGUGUUCAGAAAGCAGGACAUGCUGAAGGGUUCCAGGAGCCAGGGGCUACCUCUGCUCAAAUUUGGGAAGAGAGGAGCAUUAAAAAUAAGUCACAGUAAUGGAUCAGUUACCCACUGAAUAAAGUAAGUACCCAUACUCAAUCAAUGGCAGAGAACUUCCUUAGAGUAAAAUGUCAGCUGAUAAAUGUAGAAAGGGACAAGGAAGAAAUAAUAUAUUCUAACUAACAGGUCUAAAGAAAUAAAUGUGAACUAAUAAAUAUAGGAGUUAGAAAAAUCACCUUUGUACAACCAUGAUAGUGAUAAUGGGUUCAGAUAAGGCUCAUCCAUGGCUGUUAAAACUAGGGGGUAAAAGUUGAACCCAGAGCAGGAUAUUUACAUAAUCUCAUAGUAUCUCACCCCAUUGUCUAUUUUUUUUUUUCUUUUCAUGGCCACACCUGUGACAUACGGAAGUUCCUGGCCCAGGCCUACAUCCCAGCCACAGCAAUGUGGGAUCUGAGUCUCAUCUGGGACCCAUGCCCCAACUUGCCACAAUGCCAAAUCCUUAGCCCACUGGGCCAGGUCAGGAAUAGAACCUGCAUCCUCGCAGAGACAACGUUAGGUCCUUAACCCACUAAACCACAGUGGGAACUCCCCCAUUGUCUAAUAUAACCAAAUGGACAGGAAUAACUUUAUCUGAAAUAACUUUAACACUGAAAGGGGCUAGCUUAAAAUGAAGAUUUCAGGCCUGCCGCGCCAGGCUCAAUGAAUCAGAAUGUCUGAGAUUAGGUCUCAGGAAUCAGCUUUUUAAUAAGCAUAUGACAAAGUCGUAACUACUGACUCAGUGCUUCUGAUCUUGGGGUUGACGAGAACUCCACCCUUGUUGCUUCUUCUGUCCAGGGUGGGCCGGGAGGGGGCUGAGAGGUAUCUGAAUCACCAAUUUCAUUUCCUCUUGAUUCUGAUUUUGAUCUGAUCAUUUCAGAUCGGGGUGAAAUGCUCUUUAUUAAUUGGGGACCUUGUGCUUGCUACAAAGCAUCUUCCCUUUUUUUUGCCAACCCAGCAAUGAAGAAUUCAGGUUACUAAACAUAUAGUGUUUUACUUGUUAUCCAUGUGGUUUUAAUUAAGUUUUAACUAAUUCCCUUUAUCUUGUCAUGGCUAUUAUGACCCUCCCAGUCAUGUCACAUUAAUAUGUGAAAACAGCUCUCUGGCAUGUCGGCCAAGGAACAAAGCCAUUAUGACCUGUCUUGCUAAAUUAAAGUGGGGAGAUUGAUCAACUCGUAUGUUGUUAUCUUCUUUGAUAAUUGAUGCCGAAGAUGAGCAAAGGUACAAAGGAGACAAGGCAUGGCAGCCUUGUCACCCCUGCUGCAGAUCCAGUGUGCUGAAAGUAUCACAGACUUUUUCCAUUUACAUACAUCAAGAGAGAGGAAAAAUGACACAUUUUAGGGAAGCUAUUGAAUUGAUCUCUUCCAACUCAAACUUUUAGGAGCCUUUAGGGCUCUAUAGCGACCAUGUUUUCCCUGAGACAAUACAAGGAAACAAUAUAAAACGUUGUAAAAUAAUAUAAACACAAACUAUUAUAAAAGAAAAGAAAGAUAAACAAAGGGAAAUGCACGCAAAUAAAAGGAAAUGGCUAUUUAUUGAUAAGAAUGAAAAGGAAACUUACCUGGGAAAAUCUGCGAAUUCGAGUUACUGCAGUCGGAAACUAUGUUUGGGGGAAAGCCGAACAAGGUAGCUUGGAAAGGACAGUGAAUGUUCCUGUGACUGCUCUAAACAAAUGCUGACCACCCUGGAUGUGUCUAAUGCAAGCACUUUCGAAGCCUCUUGCUGUGCUGACCCUCUCGCUGCCUCACAGGACAGGACCUCUAAGCCUCAUUAAAUCCUUCCGCUGAUGGAUAUUUUGGUGCUUACUCACCAAGUGGCUUGUGUGUGCAGUUUAAGAGAUCCUUAAUUUAAAAAAUUCUCAUUGAUCAAUCUUUAUAUGUAGCUGUCUUUAAUUGAGCACCCGUGAUGAGCCAUGCACCAUGCUGAGUCCUGUACCCCACACUAACCUACUUCGAAUAGUAAACCUGGAAGGUAAGGAUCACUGUCCCUCCGUGACCGAGAGACCCAGCUCAUGGACGUUAAUAACUUGCUCGGUUUGUCAGAGGUUGCUUAAGGACUGGAACCUAGAUCUCUGAUGUCCAAACCCAUGGUGGCCCAUCCUCGUGCAAGAGUGAUGCGCCUCAGUCAUGCUGUCAGCUUCUCUGUUCUGGCUUUUUUGAUCACCCUUUCUCUCUGUGAGCAGGACUUUAUUCUGUGAUCCGUGCACCAGGUCAGCCACGAGUCCGCCCCAUGAUGCUCCUGUGGCUCACUUAUUUUCUUUAUCAUAACCAACAUCACGCCUUCUUAAUACGACACAUUUAAUGUUCCCAUUCACCACUAGAUUGUAAGCUCCUUGAUGGCAGGAGCCGUAUCUCUUUUGGUCUCAACUAUAUGUGUUGUAGCUCAUGGCACAUAGUAGAUGCCCAGUGAACAAUGAAUAAGCAAGUGGAUGAGUGUCGUACUAAACUCUUCCCUGCAUUCCUGUCCCAGUGCAGAGUCUAUUCUUCAGACUUGAGAUCGAUCCCUCGUACCCAUUACGCCUUUUCUUUCUCUCCUAUCUUUUAGUCCCAUCAGAACAUGUAGCACAUGGAAGAGCCAAGGUUCAAGUGCAGGUUUUUCUUAUUUUGGGGUUUCCAUCCUUUUCUUUAUCCUGCAGUGUGUUUACAAGUGUGGGAGGCUUCUGGCCGGGGUGCCUCUCAAACCAUCAGAUGGUUUUCCUUUUGUUUCUUAUUUUCUAUCCCCAACACUGAUUUUUAACUGGCUGCCACACCAUAGCUGGAAAGUGCCACCCUUGAAUGUCCUGCUUACUCAGCUGAAAGUGGCAGCUGUUCCAAUAAGCAAUUUGAUGUUCCGCACCUGAGAUUGGCUCCCUCCUUCCAGCAAGACUGCAAGCUCAACAGAAUGAAGGAAAGCGUGAAAAAGUUGCCUAGCCUGUAUCUUUCAAUGCAGUGAGGAGAGCAGCACAGGUUGAGGAAGGAUAUUUGCCUCCUGGGCAAGAAGAAAUGGCUCCCACAUGUACAGUUUCACUUGAACUUCUUUUGACGCAGUGCUAGGAAUUUAAAAUGAUUUGUUUAUCAAAGGCUAUGAAAAAAGACUGUCUAAGAGAUGGAUUUGUUAUGAUCCCUAUUGACUCUCUCAAGUGGUAUACUGGCAUAUGUGGUUUUCUCUCCAACAAAGCCCCAGUUUGUUGUGUCUGCCAAUUUCUGUGGUGUAAAUACUCCCACGGUGGCUAAUUUCAGGCUAGCAACAUGACGUCUUGAACGUAUAAUAGAGAGGUGGUGCACAGGACUGGCUCCCCUAAACCAUGACAAACUAAUGGAGCACACCAUAGUCUCUUGAUCCCAUUGUCUCCUACAUGGACACAGAAUGGUUGUUUAGGGCCUGAGCCAGUCCUGAAAUUUCCUGUGGCGGGUAACAGUGGAUGGUGAGGCAAAGGGCCAAGCUAGUGCCUAUGGCAGGCAGACAAGGCCCAUGAGUUAAAGGACUAAGGCAAACAUCCCUUCUGGUGGACCUGGGUGGGCAGUGCAUUGGAAGUUAAGGUUAGGUUCCCAGAUCCAAAACUUUACCCCAGAGACAGAUGGAUUUAGAGUAGAAACACUGGUGACGCCACUGGCCAUCUGGUCAACCUUGGACACAUUACUGAAACUCUUCAUGCUUUAGUUUCUUUAGCUCUAAAAUAAGGAUAUGUAAUAAUAGCUCUUACCUAUUGGGUUAUUGUGAUGAUGGAUUAUUAUAAUAUAUGUAAAGCGCUUAGUAUGGUGCCUGGCACAGAACAAGUGCUCGAUAUUCUAUUAAAGGACUUCUCUUGAGGUUCACAAUAUAGAAGCUAUUAAAAUUUGGCUAGAGUGAGUAAGAAUGAGAGGGUCUCAAACACCAGGAGGUGUUUGCAGUUCACUUCAGGGGCUGACAGUGGGUCUGUGUGGAUCCACUAGAGGUGGCUUGUUCGGUUGGUGAGAAAAAGCAUCACAACAUUUUUUUUCCUGAUUAUUGGCAGCAUUUUUUCUUUUGUUAAAACAGCCUCAUUCUUCCCUUUGUGACAGAUUGUGCAAAAAAAAUCUUUACAGUGGAUUUGAGAUGGCUCAUGAAAAACCAAAGCGUGCAUUCUCAUGUUGAAAUCAUGUUUAAGUUGUGGUUAGAAAUGGAAUACAUAGAGUGACGAAGAAGAGGUGAGAAAAUUACUGCACUAGAACCUAAAAUCUAGUUCUGAGCUUCCUGGUGAUCGAGAGAGGAAGCAUCUAUGUAGGUAUGUAACACAUUAUGUAGCUUUCAUUAGGCGGGGAGUACUUCCCACAAGAGACUCUUUUCUGUUUCUUUAUUUCUGUUUUUGUCAAAUUUCAAUAGAUUGCUUUAGCAUGAAGAGCCUGAAGUACCAUGGCCAUCAGUCUUUCUGAUUUUCAGAGUCUGUAAACCUGAGAAAAGCAACCACUGAGAAUUUAUUGUGCCUCUUCUGUGAAGUACAUUGCAUCCUUCUAGUAGGCCUUGGCUUUUGCUCCUGCCCCCAAUCUAUUCUUCAAACAGCAUAAACGGUGAUCUUAGACAUCAAGUUGUACUAUGUCAUUUUGCAGCUUAAACUCAGAAUGCCCUGGGAAUCGAACCGAACUCCUUACAGUGGACCACGUUGCCUUGUAUGAUCUGGCUCCAACAUCAUCCCUGUGUCUGUCCUGCUCGUGACCCUGUAGUUCCAUGGCGUCCUCUUUUCUGCCCCAGGGCCUUUGCACGUAAACUUCCCUCAGCCUGGAAUGAUCUUUCCCCCUCUUCACAGAAAGGGCUCCUUCUCUCCCCACCCGUUGCCUCCUCAGCCUUCCCUGGUGGCACUUUCCAAAGCAGAUUUCAUCCUCGUUUGUCUCCCUCUCAGUUUCUUUUUGGCUUCUCUAGCUGGCAUUGGAAUGAGCUAUAUUUGGUAAGAUAAGAUCAUAAAAUAACUUUAUUUUUCACCUACCACAGCUUCAAACCUGCUUGGGUAGGAUUUGCCAAGGAUGAUAUUGCAAGCAGAUUCCAUGGCUUUUAUGAUAAUUUUCAUGUCUUAAAAUCAUCUUGUUUUUAGAUAGGAAAUGGUCCUAUCCAAUUUAAUGUCAAAACUUCAGUUCCUCAUCCAAUUUAAGAAGAGUUCCGUUCUUCUAGGCUCAAGCUUGACCUAAGGUGCUAUUGAGCCGAAGUAGGAGGGAGCAUUGCUGUCUGAUUUUCCAUUUUGCGCCGUCUUCCUCACUUCCCACCCUACUUCUACUGCAUGGUGGGGGUCGGGCUGCAGGGGAGGAUGAGGAAGGAAUGAGAGGCAUAAGAGAUCUUCUUGGGUAACUGGGGCUGUUAGUAUUUCUCUCUCAACUGUCAAGGGUGGGGAAAAAUUGCUGGUUCUUCCUCCGGACAAGACCUCCCACUGGAAGCCUCCACCCUGCCGUCCUCUGUUCUAGGUGCGCUGCUGUGAACU